rnacentral:rRNA from 1 species
AGAGUUUGAUCCUGGCUCAGGACGAACGCUGGCGGCGUGCUUAACACAUGCAAGUCGAACGAUGAAGCCCAGCUUGCUGGGUGGAUUAGUGGCGAACGGGUGAGUAACACGUGAGUAACCUGCCCUUGACUCUGGGAUAAGCGCUGGAAACGGCGUCUAAUACCGGAUAUGACAACCGACGGCAUCGUCUGGUUGUGGAAAGAAUUUUGGUCAAGGAUGGACUCGCGGCCUAUCAGCUUGUUGGUGAGGUAAUGGCUCACCAAGGCGACGACGGGUAGCCGGCCUGAGAGGGUGACCGGCCACACUGGGACUAAGACACGGCCCAGACUCCUACGGGAGGCAGCAGUGGGGAAUAUUGCACAAUGGGCGAAAGCCUGAUGCAGCAACGCCGCGUGAGGGACGACGGCCUUCGGGUUGUAAACCUCUUUUAGCAGGGAAGAAGCGAAAGUGACGGUACCUGCAGAAAAAGCACCGGCUAACUACGUG